GGGCUGAUAGUGAUAAUAGCGAGCACUUCUGCUUUGCACGCAGAGAGUCUGGGUUCGAUUCCCAGUCGGUCCA
rnacentral:tRNA from 1 species